GCCAUCUUGUGACCAUGAGGAAGUAGGCAUGAGGAAGAAGAGCUAAUAUGCUGAGGAAGGCUCAGUCUGGUGUGGCAGGGAGACUCGUGGGUACUUGCAAGACGUCCAGCAUCCGACUGCAGCCUCCAUGCUCUCACCUUGAUUCAGGUCCCCCUUGUCACCUCUCCUGGUUUGCUGGGACCAGCCAUAACUGGGCUCCUUAAUUCCAUCCUUGUCUGUAGAAACUGACCUGUCCAAGGCUACAGUUUUCUAACUUUUUCAUUUUAAAAUGAAAUUUGGUUGCCAAAAAAUACAUAAAAACGUAUAACUUCAUGAAAUAAUAAAACAAACAUCCUUAUAUCCCGGACCAAGUCAAGAAAUAAUGCUUUGUUAGAAGCCUCUCCAUGGCCGCAGGCCAGCCCCAGCCCUGCCCCUCCUCCAGAGUGGCCAACCCAUCUGACGUGGUGAACAUCUCUCUGUCCAUGACCCUGGCAUCACCAGCCAAGGUGCCUCCUCAGACCCAACAGCUGUUGUGACUGAUUCCGUACAUCUUGGUAUGUCUUUAAAGUCCACAGUAUAUCCCUCGGUGCCUCGUUUCCCAAGAAUUCCUCUCUGUCACAGUCCUGGGCUGUGGGACUGGCAGAGUUUCUCACAAUCUGGGUUCUGGUAAUUCCACAUUUAUGGUCAGUCAACGCCAUCCCCACAUUCUCUCCAUCCUCCAUAUUUCUAGAAAAAAUGGCAGCUGGAUCCAGGAAGCUUGGUCAGAA
rnacentral:lncRNA from 1 species